GCUAUGACUCACAGUGACAGCGUUCACGUUAGCUAGUGUUCAGAUGGAGCAGCUCUGGCAACAGAAGAAGCAGGUUAUGUUAUUGAUUACCUGCUGCAGAGGACAGUUGCACCAAGAUUGUUUUUUACAAGCACAGAUGGAACAGAGGAGGCUCUACUAAGCACUGCUGUCAUUGUUAGUAUUGCUUUCUUAAGACUUCAUUUAAAAAAAGAACUGGAUACACAUGCUGAAUUUCAUUUGUGAAAGGUGGAGUAAGAGCCUGGGCACCUGACUGGCAUCAGUGCUGAAUGCCUGAAACUGGAUGGUGCUACAGCCUCAGCUUAGGAAGUAAUGCAACAACUUUUCCUAUGAAGAGGGAAUUCAGCAAUGGAAGAUUUUGAAGGAGAAAGGCCUAUAUGAGGAUGUGUGUUUAACUGAUAUUAUGAUGUACAAAAUCCCUCCCCACAUGAUGAAAAGAGUCCUCUCAUGGUAAUGUUAGAGGAGUAGCAGUUGGACACAACCUGCUGCACUCUGCUACUCUGUGAGACAAACAUCAGCAAAGCCAAGCAGCAAGAAAAGAAGGGCUCUUCAUGAGAAAAUGACAGCAAGAGAACACAGCCCCCGCCAUGGUGCCAAAUCCCGCACUGUGCAGAGGGCCUCCACCAUUGAUGUCACCUCUGACAUGGUUGGCCUUUCUCUAACAGGAAACAUCCAGGAUCCAGAUGAGCCGAUUUUAGAGUUCAGUUUAGCUUGCAGUGAGCUGCUAACUCCAUCGCUAGAUCGAAAACCAAAUAGUUUUGUAGCAGUGAGUGUAACUACUCCUCCCCAGGCAUUCUGGACGAAGCAUGCACAGACAGAAAUUAUUGAGGGAACAAGCAAUCCUAUCUUUCUAAGCAGCAUUGCCUUUUUCCAAGACUCUCUUAUCAAUCAAAUGACACAAAUCAAACUCUCCGUGUAUGACGUCAAAGAUAGAUCUCAGGGAACAAUGUAUUUGUUGGGUUCUGGGACAUUCACUGUAAAGGAUCUUCUUCAGGAGAAGUACCACAGGUUGCACAUAACACUAAGGUCGGCUGAAAGUGACCGUGUUGGUAACAUCACAGUUAUUGGAUGGCAGAUGGAGGAAAAAUCUGACCAAAGGCCUCCAGUGACAAGGUCACCUGAUACAAUUAAUGGAAGGACUGUGUUGCCAGUUGAUGAAAGUUUAACAGAAUCCUUAGGAAUCAGAUCCAAAUAUGCUUCAUUGAGGAAGGAUGCACUACUGAAAUCUGUGUUUGGUGGUGCCAUUUGCCGAAUGUAUCGCUUCCCAACCACUGAUGGAAACCACUUGAGAAUCUUGGAGCAGAUGGCAGAGAGCAUCCUGUCACUGCACAUCCCUAGACAAUUUGUGAAGCUGCUUCUAGAAGAAGAUGCAGCAAGGGUUUGUGAACUAGAAGAAUUGGGAGAACUGUCUCCUUGUUGGGAAAGCCUUCGUCGACAAAUAGUUACGCAGUACCAAACAAUUAUUUUAACUUACCAGGAAAAUCUAACUGACCUGCACCAGUAUAAAGGUCCUUCAUUUAAAGCCAGUAGCUUGAAAGCUGAUAAAAAAUUGGAAUUCGUUCCUACGAAUUUACAUAUACAGAGGAUGAGAGUCCAGGAUGAUGGAGGAUCAGAUCAGAACUACGACAUAGUCACCAUAGGAGCACCAGCAGCUCAUUGUCAAGGCUUUAAAUCAGGUGGCUUGAGGAAAAAGCUGCAUAAAUUUGAAGAGGCAAAGAAACACAGUUAUGAGGAGUGUUGCACUUCAACAGGUUCCCAGUCUAUAAUAUACAUCCCACAGGACAUCGUUAGAGCAAAGGAAAUUAUUGCACAAAUCAACACCCUGAAAACACAAGUCAGUUACUAUGCAGAAAGGCUCUCAAGAGCUGCCAAGGAUAGAUCAGCUAAUGGCCUUGAAAGAACGCUUGCCAUCCUGGCAGAUAAGACCCGGCAACUUGUCACAGUUUGUGACUGCAAGCUGUUGGCAAAUUCAAUACACGGGCUGAAUGCUGCAAGGCCAGACUAUAUAGCUUCAAAAGCAUCUCCAACCUCUGGAGAAGGGGAGCAAGUGAUGCUAAGGAAUGAUCAGGAUACACUUGUGGCCAGAUGGACGGGAAGAAACAGCCGAUCUUCUCUGCAGGUGGACUGGCAUGAAGAGGAAUGGGAGAAAGUUUGGUUGAAUGUUGACAAAAGCCUGGAGUGUAUCAUCCAGCGAGUGGACAAACUUCUCCAGAAGGAGCGCCUGCAAAGUGACAGCUGUGAGGACGUUUUCCAGUGUGACGUCAGCAGUACUAGUAAGAAAGGUAAUCGGGACAGUCGUGCCUACUGGAUAAAUCCAGAAGAUUUAAAUGAGACCUCAUCAUCCUCACCACCUUCAUCAUCCUCACCACCAUCUUCAUCCACACCAUCCUGUGCAUGCCAUUCUCUCAGGACAAAUUGCAGCCCUACUCCAGAAGAAUCUGCCCCAGGUGAAUGGAGUGAAGCUCUUUAUCCCUUGCUGACCACACUCACUGACUGUGUAGCCAUGAUGAGCGACAAGGCAAAGAAAGCCAUGGUCUUUUUAUUAAUGCAGGACAGUGCCCCGACAAUAGGGCUCUGCCUCAGCCUUCAGUAUCGCAGGGAUGUUGUCUUCUGCCAGACUCUGACAGCUCUCAUUUGUGGUUUCAUUAUCAAGCUGAGGAACUGCCUGCAUGAUGAUGGAUUUCUAAGACAACUCUACACCAUUGGCUUGCUGGCACAGUUUGAGAGCCUGCUGAGCACUUAUGGUGAGGAGCUGGCAAUGCUGGAGGACAUGAGUUUGGGAAUCAUGGACUUGAGGAAUGUAACCUUUAAAGUAACUCAGGCUACAUCAAAUACAUCUACUGAUAUGCUGCCAGUGAUCACUGGAAACCGUGAUGGAUUUAACGUGAGGAUCCCUCUGCCAAGCGCCUUGUUUGAUUUGUUGCCGCGCGAGAUUCAAAGUGGAAUGUUACUGAGGGUUCAGCCUGUUCUCUUCAACGUGGGAAUCAAUGAGCAGCAAACCCUAGCAGAGAAGUUUGGGGACACCUCACUGCAAGAAAUAAUUAACAUGGAAAGCUUAGUGCGGUUGAAUUCUUAUUUUGAGCAGUUCAAGGAAGUUUUGCCUGAUGAUUGUCUACCUCGAUCUCGUAGUCAGACGUGCCUGCCUGAACUGUUAAGAUUUCUGGGUCAAAAUGUACAUGCAAGGAAAAACAAGAAUGUUGAUAUCCUUUGGCAAGCUGCUGAGAUAUGCCGCAGACUUAACGGUGUUCGGUUUACGAGCUGUAAAAGUGCCAAGGAUAGGACUGCCAUGUCAAUCACCCUGGAGCAGUGUUUGAUCCUACAGCAUGAACAUGGAAUGGCUCCACAGGUCUUCACUCAGGCUCUGGAGUGUAUGAGGAGUGAGGGUUGUCGCCGAGAAAAUACAAUGAAGAAUGUUGGAUGUCGCAAGUAUGCAUUUAAUUCCCUGCAACUGAAGGCUUUCCCAAAGUAUUACAGGCCUCCAGAAGGAACUUAUGGAAAAGUUGAAACAUAAGCAUACUAUGUCCUUUAAUUACUGUUCCAUUAAAACAUGUGGAUACACUCUAGAUUAACACAUGAUUUCGUCAUCCAGAAGAGAUAAACAACCUUUUUGUACGUUUCGCUAGGUCAUACAGAGCAUGUUACUGAAUUGGAAUCUAUAGUAACAAUUAUUCUGACACCUUAGCUUGAGAAUAGUGUGAUGACUCUCUGCCCAUUUCAAUAGCCUUCAGUGUAUGUAAGAUGAGCAGAUAUUGUGCUACUUAAUAAUUACCUAUAUGCAAAUAGCUAGGUACCUCCUGGAUGGGCAAGGACUCUAGGAAUGGCAUUCAGGCAGCUGUCUCCAUAACAUCUUUUUAUACUGAGUUGAUUUGAGAUUGAGCUUUUCCUAAACUUUUUAAAACUGAGAGUAAAACUUAAAAGUUGUAAAUAAAAAGGAUCCUAGACAGUGUAGUAACUGUAGAAUGCAUUGUUGCAAUCAAUAAAAGGGGGUUUAAUUAAAAAAAAAUCAGCACAAUAAGAGCCAGGAGAAAGAAUUGUUUUACUGUAUAUAGGAUGGCCACCUUCAUGUAUGAAGUUAACAAUAUAUAAAAGGCCAGACGUGUGGUCUGGUUUAUAAUUCUGUUCAGAUAAAAAAAAUUCCUGUCAUCUUUGGCUGAUAAGGCUUUGGGCACACAACUGAUUUUUAAAAAUAUUUCAGAAACAUCAUGAUGCUUAACUAUUAAUGCCCUUCCCCACUCUAAGGCAAGUGCAACAAGCAAAUUGCUGAUGUUGCACAUGAUAUGUUCAGUAUAUUCCAUGGUGUUGUACAUUAAUUAUCACAUUUUUACCCAUGGGGUUUUUUUGUAUCACUUCUGGAUUGUAAGCAUUAGUAUCUUGGGGUGUUACAUUAUUUUGGUCAGUGUACAAUUUUUCUGUAUCAGUUUUGUCAUUACAAAAAUGCUCAAAGUGCCCAAUGCAUCUCCCUUGCUCUAAAGUCAAAAUUGGUUUCUGUUUACCUUUGCAUUUCACCUGUUGAGAAUCCUGGUGGGGGGAAGUGUGAGCGGUGUCAGGGUAUUUCUGAGGAAGGUAGAAAUGCCCUGUUUUGUUAGAGAGGAACUGCUCAGUGCUACUGCUUGUGCCUGAGAACCACAGGUGGGUUCUAGCUUAUGGCAAAGGUGGUCAGUUGGAUAGCAUUUGAUAAAAAAUGUUCAACAGAUCUCCUCCAAAAUAAAUUCCCAAAGAAUGCCUUUGGAGCUAAGAUAGCGUUUUAAAAAGCAGCUAAACAUUCAUUUCCAAAUUUUAACAAGAUCAAGUAAUCUUUAGCUAGCUUCAUUCAGCACAUUGUACUUUCCUUCUUAGUUUCUAAGGAUCUAAGUUUCAGAUAUAGAAAAAAUCUGCCCAUUUAUUCUUGUGGGAGUAGCAACAGCCAGGUAAGUAUAUGGCUGUUUUCUGAUUUCUUUCUCCCUCUCACUGAUGUUUGUCUGUGCUGUCACUGCUCUAUCAAUCAGCCAUGUUCAUUCUGCUCCCAUGCAGGUUUGGGGGUUACAGGUCCAGCAGUUUUUGCAUUUUGCUUUUUGCAGUUUAACACUGAGCAGCAUGUCACUAGGCCAGGUCAGAGAGUUCUGCUGAGCUAGGCUGUUGCCAUUAUUUCAGACUCUUUAGGGUAACAAAACAUGGAAUUCUGUGCAAAAGCAAUGUAUUGUAGUACCUACCCCAGGUCUGAACAAAUCAUCUACCGUAGAAUAGUCCCUUGGAAAUGUUACAAACCCUGUUUGCCAAUGAAUAAAUGUUGAUUUGGUUUUAUUUUUUGCUAACAAGUAAACAAAUAUAUGAUGAAAAAUUUUAGACAAGUUACUCCAUUAGUUCUGCUCAGCCUUCAGUCCCUGGCCCAUUGUUAAAUGCUACUUUAUUUUUGUACAAACUAUGCUCUUUAUAUCCCUUAGUUUUUAUGAGUUGAUAAUUUUAUUUUGUCCAUUUCAAACAUAGCUAAUUUUAAAUCCUGUAUUGUUACACUAAAAAUCUUCCAAUGUUCAGCUUCAGAAGGAAAUAACAAAUGUCUCUUGUAACAACUAGCAGUGUCACUCUCUGAGAUGGUGGCCAGCAAUCAUUAGACCUGCUGUAGAGCUUAGCAAUCCGUUAUUUAUUUUGUAUAGCGAUGUAAUCUGAAAAAGUUGCUGAAUUUUGUCUGCGCGCGGCGGAGCCGAGCCCCGGGUGCGGCGCGGUUGUGCCGGGGGUGCUGAGCGGGGCUGCCGGGCCUGGUGUCCCCAGGGUGUCCCCAGGGUGUCCCCAAGGUGUCCUGGACACGGCUCAGGCUCCUCCCGAGGGCAGCGAGGGCUCUGGCGGCUCCUGCAGAGAAAACUGUGACAUGUGACAUCCUCAUGGGAGCCUCACAAGGGGGAAGGGAGUUUUUCUGUUGCACAGGAGAGGCGAAUCUAAGGAUUACUGUAAAAUGAAGUUCUGUCUAAUGUUCCUUUUUUUGAGUACAUUUUUUAAAUUAUAAAACAUACAAAGGUAAAAGAAGAAAACUGUUGCCGAGUAUGUUCUGUGUAUGUUCUGUGAAAGUACCUACAGCACAGUUGCCUUUUUUCAUUUAUACGUGUAAAAUUAUUGUAUAAUAUGACACAGUUUUGUCCCGACACGACUGUAUUUGCCAAGCUUUGUGCAUUGAAAUAUUUUUAUUUAUUUGGUUUUGGGCAGUAUUAAUAUAUCAUAAACAUAUGGCUACUGUUUUAUAUAUUCUAGUUCAUCCAAUCCAUGUAUGCUGUAAAUGUGCUAGUCUUUAGGAUGAAAACCAAUAAAGAACU